UGUCAGUGCUGUCAUCAAUCUCAAGCCAUUUUUCUCCAAGGGACGCGCUGGAUGGUUGUUCGCGAAGUAUUUCUACUGUUUCUCCGAUAACUACAACGUUUGCAGCAUGCAUUGCCAAAAUCGUGCUGGCGACGCAGGCGUGAACAAGCGGUACCGGCGUGAACGGUUGCGGCAGCCAGCGCUGGUAUCGAUCGAUCUGAACAAAGAUCCCUCCUAGGAUGUAACGAAGCCGGCACCUGAUCCAUACGCAGUGCAAAAAGCAUCAGAAUAUUCUUCGAAAGAAGCGAAGGAAGUACCGUGGGUUAUGCAACCGGAAAAACCACGCACCGAGCCGAAAAAGUGUGUUAAGAUCGGUCGGCCUGGUUAUCGGGUGAGAAAGCGGCUCGAUCCGGAGAAAAGUCAACAGUGAUAGCUCUUCCUAAUCGCCUGUACGGAAAUUACGGACCGUAUUGUACCACUGCAUCGGUUUUUGUUCGUUUACGAAUCACCAUCGAAAAGAUCGACCAUCAGUCAAACGCGAUAACACGAGCUCCCGCCAAUUUCCACCAUUAUACGCAUGGCGCUAGCAUCGGCCGCAGCACGAACUGUCAGUGCUGUCAUCAAUGUCAAGCCAUUUGUCGCCAAAGGGACGUGCUGGAUGGUUGUUUGCGAAGUAUUUCUACUGUUUUUCCGAUAACUACAACGUUUGCAGCAUGGUUUACCAAAACCAUGCCAGUGACAACACCGGCGGCGUAGGCGAGAGCAAGUGGUACCGGCGUGAACGAUUGCACCAACCAUAGCUGGAAAAGAUCGAUCUAAACAAGAAUAUCUACUAAGAUCCAACGAGGGCAUCAUCUGUCCCACACGCGGGGUGAAAAGCAUCAGGCCAAUCUGGCACGUCGUGCCGUGAAAGAAACGAAGGAAGCACCGUCGUUGAUAUAACUGGGAAAGAAACGAAUCGAUCCGAAAAAGUGUGUUAAAAUCGGUACCGUGGCAUCGGUUUAUUUCCGCUUACAAACAAAAGAUCGUAACUGGUCCGUGCCACUGAAAGAAAAACACAAAAUGAUUUUUCCUACAGUUGUCCUUAAAGCCGGAAGCGAAGAAAAUUUCACCACCGCCACCGAAUGUGCCCCGGAAGCCGAUAUUUAAUCCGGUUCCACCACCGGCGGCAUAUGUAAAGCGAGUGCAGAUUGACUUAGGUCCGGAUGUGGAUGAUAAACUGAUGUAAAAUCAUAAUUUACAAUAAUUAAAUGGUUGUAUGUGUGUAAAUUUAUUUAUUGAAAUAAUAAAUAUCUGGAUUUUUAAUAA